UACAGAGGGUGCGAGCGUUGUCCGGAAUCACUGGGCGUAAAGCGUGCGUAGGUGGUUUUUUAAGUCCGUUGUGAAAGCCCUGGGCUCAACCUGGGAAUGGCAGUGGAUACUGGAAAGCUAGAGUGCGGUAGAGGGUAGUGGAAUUCCCGGUGUAGCAGUGAAAUGCGUAGAGAUCGGGAGGAACACCAGUGGCGAAGGCGGCUACCUGGACCAGCACUGACACUGAGGCACGAAAGCGUGGGGGAGCAAACAGGG
rnacentral:rRNA from 1 species